GAGUGGGAAAAGCUCAACUUUAAAAUCUGGCAGCUUCGCUGUCCGAGUUGUAGUCUCGAGAAGUGUUUUCCGCGCUGGAUCGUGUAUGAGUCUGUUGGAAUACAGCGUCAUAGAGGGUGAGAACCCCGUUCAUGACACGACUACCAGUGCUUUGUGAUACACUUUCGAUGAGUCGAGUUGUUUGGGAAUGCAGCUCAAAAUGGGUGGUAAAUUCCAUCUAAAGCUAAAUAUUGGCGAGAGACCGAUAGCAAACAAGUACCGUGAGGGAAAGAUGAAAAGCACUUUGGAAAGAGAGUUAACAGUACGUGAAAUUGUCGAAAGGGAAACGCUUGAAGUCAGACGUGCGCGGUGCGAUUCAGCCUUGGUUCGCCAGGGUGUACUUCGUACCAUUGCAGGCCAGCAUCGGUUUUGUGAGCCGGAUAAAGGUUAGAGGAAGGUAGCGGUCCAGGCCGUGUUAUAGCCUCUAACUGAAUACGGAUUGUGAGACCGAGGGACGCAGCGCGCCGCAAGGCAAAGGGUCCGCCCUUUUCGCGCUUAGGAUGCUGGUGAAAUGGCUUUAAACGACCCGU
rnacentral:rRNA from 1 species